CUUCAGCACAUAUGUCAAAUUCCUGAUGGACUACUCCCAUGGUCUGGCAGAGCCGUAAUUGUGCUAAUAUAAAUCGAAAAGGAACUCAUGUUCAUUUGUAGCUCAAUUCAUUAGAUCCAACGAUGAAUUGAGCCGAACUUUACUUGUUUCUUUCACAAUC
rnacentral:snoRNA from 1 species